AUUGAACGCUGGCGGCAUGCCUUACACAUGCAAGUCGAACGGUAACAGGUCUUCGGAUGCUGACGAGUGGCGAACGGGUGAGUAAUACAUCGGAACGUGCCUAGUAGUGGGGGAUAACUACUCGAAAGAGUGGCUAAUACCGCAUGAGAUCUACGGAUGAAAGCAGGGGAUCGCAAGACCUUGUGCUACUAGAGCGGCCGAUGGCAGAUUAGGUAGUUGGUGGGAUAAAAGCUUACCAAGCCGACGAUCUGUAGCUGGUCUGAGAGGACGAUCAGCCACACUGGGACUGAGACACGGCACAGGCUCCUACGGGAGGCAGCAGUGGGGAAUUUUGGACAAUGGGCGCAAGCCUGAUCCAGCAAUGCCGCGUGCAGGAUGAAGGCCUUCGGGUUGUAAACUGCUUUUGUACGGAACGAAAAGCCCUGGGUUAAUACCCUGGGGUCAUGACGGUACCGUAAGAAUAAGCACCGGCUAACUACGUGCCAGCAGCCGCCGUAACAC
rnacentral:rRNA from 1 species